GCGACCCCAGGUCAGU
rnacentral:rRNA from 2 species